GAUAUUGGACAAUGGGGGCAACCCUGAUCCAGCCAUCCCGCGUGUGCGAUGAAGGCCUUCGGGUUGUAAAGCACUUUUGGCAGGGAAGAAAAUGCUCUGGCUAAGACUCUGAGCUGCUGACGGUACCUGCAGCAUAAGCACCGGCUAACUACUUGCUAUCAGCCGCGGUAAUACGUAGGGUGCAAGCGUUAAUCGGAAUUACUGGGCGUAAAGCGUGCGCAGGCGGUUCGGCAAGAAGGAUGUGAAAUCCCAGGGCUUAACCUUGGAACUGCAUUCUUAACUGCCGGGCUAGAGUAUGUCAGAGGGGGGUAGAAUUCCGCGUGUAGCAGUGAAAUGCGUAGAGAUGCGGAGGAAUACCGAUGGCGAAGGCAGCCCCCUGGGAUAAUACUGACGCUCAUGCACGAAAGCGUGGGGAGCAAACA
rnacentral:rRNA from 1 species